rnacentral:rRNA from 1 species
UACGUAGGGGGCAAGCGUUAUCCGGAAUUACUGGGUGUAAAGGGAGCGUAGGCGGCAAGGUAAGCGAUAUGUGAAAGCCUUAGGCUUAACCUGAGGAUUGCAUAACGAACUAUCUAGCUAGAGUACAGGAGAGGAAAGCGGAAUUCCUAGUGUAGCGGUGAAAUGCGUAGAUAUUAGGAAGAACACCAGUGGCGAAGGCGGCUUUCUGGACUGAAACUGACGCUGAGGCUCGAAAGCGUGGGGAGCGAACAGG